UAUCUUUCCUUUUAAGGUUUUGGCGAACACUGCAUACGACGCAUCAGCAGACUGGUGGUCAUUCGGUGUUGUCGUUUAUGAAAUGGCCACCGGCAAGCUGCCCUUUUCGCCAGAUGGAACCUCUAAAGAACAACUAGAGACCAUCAUGAACAGGGAGCCAUAUUAUCCUGAGCGGGUUAGGCCAGAAUUGUGCGACUUCAUAAAACAGCUUUUGAAGAAGGACGUCAAACAACGCCUUGGAGUGUGUGCCAAUGUCCGGGACCACCCUUUUUUAUCUUCGGUUAAUUGGAGGAAUGUUAAAAAACUAAGACUGGAACCCCCUCUAAAACCAAGAAUUAAACCAAUUGAUAGGCUCAGCAACAUCCCCUUCCCAGUAAACAACAUCAGUGGGACUUGCAUGAUCAAGGACAUCACCUACACAGAUCCAACUUGGAAGGACAAAUAAUUCAUCUUUGUCCCACCAGCAAGGUAGAGGUUUGAGAUUGAUUCCCAUCAAAUGACCACCCAAAAGCUGUGCAGCCAUUCCACCAUACUAUCCGCUAACACCUGGCUUACUCCUCCACUUCUCCAUCCUUUGAUAUGAGGAAGGUUCUAAAUACCAACUGAUCUAAUACGUGCAGGUUGGUAGCACUGUGGGAUAGGUAAGUAUCACCACCAGAGAAAGUACUUAUAUGCUUUUUACAUACUUUCUUAAUUAAGAUUUAUAUAUUGUUAGUAGCCACAGAGCUAAAUUCCAUCAUAAAUCGGAUGCCACAAAUAUACUUCCACCACAAUGGCACAGAUGCAGGAAACAUACAAUGUCUAAAAGAUCCUAUGCCCAGACAUAUAUCAUCUGGAAUAUUGUCAUCUAAGUACUUACUGGUGGUUAUUUGUUGUUUUUGUUCUAAGUUUGAAAAAAAACAAAAAAAAAAAACAAAAAAAAUCUUUCCCUCCUUCCCGUGUUAAUGCUAACCAGUUACUGUUUUACCUUUCUUUCCCUUUCCUUUCUUUUCCUUCCCCAGUUUUUUAUAGCCUGUGUUGCCAACAGAGAGGAGGGUUGGGGGUGGGCCUAUAUGGUGGCCUGUGACUAGUUAAUCUUCAAUCUUUAGACAGUCACAAGCCACCAUGGUGCCCUCUGUUGUCACCUCAAUCUACACCAACAAUAUUAGGAUAACCUUGUUAAUAACAACUUAAGGAUGAUAAAAUAGUUUUUAUAAAAGCAAAAAAAGCCCCUGAUAAUAUUAGUUUUAUUAUAAUUGGCUUAUUAACUUUAACAACCAGGUUUGUGCUGUCA